rnacentral:rRNA from 1 species
AUACGUAGGUGACAAGCGUUAUCCGGAUUUACUGGGCGUAAAGCGCAUGUAGGCGGUUUGGUAAGUCGGUCGUGAAAAUGCGGGGCUUAACGCCGUAUGGCGGUCGAAACUGCUGAACUUGAGUGCCGGAGAGGAAAGGGGAACUCCCAGUGUAGCGGUGAAAUGCGUAGAUAUUGGGAAGAACACCGGUGGCGAAGGCGCCGUUCUGGACUGUGUCUGACGCUCAGAUGCGAAAGCCAGGGUAGCGAACGGGAUUAGAUACCCCGGUAGUCCUGGCCGUAAACGAUGGGUACUAGGUGUGGGAGGUAUCGACUCCUUCCGUGCCGGAGUUAACGCAAUAAGUACCCCGCCUGGGGAGUACGGCCGCAACGGUGAAACUCAAAUGAAUUGACGGGG